rnacentral:rRNA from 1 species
UACAGAGGUCUCGAGCGUUAGGCGGAAUCACUGGGCUUAAAGCGUGUGUAGGCGGAUCGGUAAGUACCUUGUGAAAUCCCACAGCUUAACUGUGGAACUGCUUGGUAUACUGCCAGUCUUGAGCCACUCAGGGGCUACCGGAACAAAUGGUGGAGCGGUGAAAUGCGUAGAUAUCAUUUGGAACGCCAAUGGUGAAAACAGGUAGCUGGGAGUGUGCUGACGCUGAGACACGAAAGCCAGGGGAGCAAACGGG